rnacentral:sRNA from 1 species
GCUCCAAGACAUGGCUGCAGCUUCCCAGGGAGGAGCCCAGGGGCAUCUCCAACACUCAGCCUUUCCCUCUGGACCCUUUUAAAAGAUUCAACAGCACCGUCUCUCUCCACUUCCAUCCUAGAAUGUAGAAUCUGCAAAGUGCCUUUUGUAAAGUUUCUUAAGGGCCCCAUCCCAGCCAAAAUGAAUCCCAGGGAAGAAAAAGUAAAAAUAAUUACAGAGGAGUUCAUUGAAAAUGAUGAGGAUGCAGACAUGGGAAGACAGAAUAAGAACUCAAAGGUUCGAAGACAGCCAAGAAAGAAACAGCCACCAACUGCUGUCCCCAAGGAAAUGGUGUCCGAAAAGUCUCACCGUGGCAACCGGCAGGAGCCUGUGCAGGAGGAGCCCAAGACCCACCUUCUGAGUAUGACAGUCCGGAGAGGCCCACGGAGCUUACCUCCAAUUCCUUCAACUUCCAGAACAGGCUUUGCAGAAUUUUCCAUGAGGGGACGCAUGAGGGAGAAAUUGCAAGCUGCAAGGUCCAAAGCAGAAAGUGCAUUGCUGCAGGAAAUCCCCACUCCUCGGCCCAGACGCUUACGAAGUCCCAGUAAGAAAGAACUGGAGACUGAAUUUGGCACAGAGCCAGGGAAAGAGGUAGAAAGGACUCAACAAGAAGUUGAUUCCCAAAGUUAUUCAAGAGUCAAGUUCCGUGAUUCUGCACGAAAAAUCAAGCCUAAACCCCAGGUUCCACCUGGCUUCCCUUCUGCAGAAGAAGCCUAUAACUUCUUUACUUUCAACUUUGAUCCCGAACCAGAAGGAUCAGAGGAAAAACCAAAAGCAAGACAUAGAGCGGGAACUAAUCAAGAGGAGGAGGAAGGAGAAGAAGAACCACCUGCACAAGGAGGAGGAAAGGAAAUGGAUGAGGAAGAACUGCUUAAUGGUGAUGAUGCCGAGGACUUUCUAUUGGGCUUAGAUCACAUGGCUGACGAUUUUGUAUCAGUGAGACCUGCAGAUUAUGAAAGCAUCCAUGAUCGGUUGCAGAUGGAAAGAGAAAUGCUCUUCAUACCCAGUAGGCAGACAGUCCCUACAUAUAAAAAGCUUCCUGAGAAUGUACAGCCCAGGUUCCUGGAAGAUGAAGGCCUUUACACCGGGGUAAGACCAGAGGUGGCACGCACCAAUCAGAACAUCAUGGAGAACAGAUUGCUGAUGCAGGACCCCGAAAGAAGAUGGUUUGGAGAUGACGGCAGGAUCCUAGCUCUGCCAAACCCCAUCAAGCCAUUUCCUUCAAGGCCGCCAGUACUAACACAGGAGCAGAGCAGUAAGGCAGAGCUUGAAACACUGUAUAAAAAGGCAGUAAAAUACGUUCACAGUAGUCAGCAUGUGAUCAGAUCUGGAGACCCCCCUGGAAAUUUCCAGCUGGACAUUGAUAUUUCAGGGUUAAUCUUCACUCAUCAUCCCUGUUUUAGCCGAGAGCAUGUUUUGGCAGCCAAGCUGGCCCAGUUAUACGACCAGUACCUUGCAAGACACCAGAGAAACAAGGCGAAAUUUCUUACUGAUAAGCUCCAAGCUUUAAGAAAUGCUGUUCAGACUGGCCUUUAUCCAGAAAAACCUCAUCAGUCUCUCGACACCAUCCAAAAAACCAUCAAUGAGUAUAAAUCUGAAAUUCGACAAACAAGAAAAUUCCGUGAUGCUGAACAAGAAAAAGAUAGAACAUUGCUUAAGACCAUCAUAAAAGUUUGGAAAGAGAUGAAAUCCCUUCGAGAGUUCCAGAGAUUUACAAAUACUCCCUUGAAACUUGUUUUGAGAAAGGAAAAAGCUGACCAGAAAGCAGAUGAAGAAGCAUAUGAAGCAGAAAUUCAAGCUGAAAUAAGUGAACUGUUAGAAGAGCACACGGAGGAGUACGCACAGAAGAUGGAAGAAUACAGAACAUCGUUACACCAGUGGAAGGCCUGGAGGAAAGCGCAAAGGGCCAAGAAGAAGAAAAGGAAACAAGCAGCAGAAGAACAUCCCGAUGAUGAGAUUGCAGAGCCGUAUCCCGAGGAGGACCUUGUGAAGCCCAGCCCUCCAGAGCCCACUGAUCGGGCAGUGAUAGAGCAGGAGGUAAGGAAGAGAGCAGCCCAGAGCAGGAGGAGGCCUUGGGAGCCCACGCUGGUCCCGGAGCUAAGCCUGGCAGGAAGCGUAACACCCAAUGACCAGUGCCCCAGAGCAGAGGUCUCGAGAAGGGAGGAUGUAAAGAAGCGCUCAGUGUACUUAAAAGUGCUCUUCAACAACAAGGAGGUGUCCAGGACAGUCAGUCGGCCACUAGGAGCAGACUUCCGAGUUCACUUUGGGCAGAUUUUCAAUUUGCAAAUAGUCAACUGGCCGGAGAGUUUAACACUUCAGGUAAAACUAGAGAGUUGCCCAACUCUGCACUGGAAAGGAGAACUGGGGCAGCCUUCAGAUACGUGGUCACUGGACACAGCCCCUGUGAGGUCCCUGCCCUCCCUGUGGGGUCCACGUGGACUCUCUAUUCCAUCUGCUCUGGGGCUUCUGCUGAGGCUGAUGGCCUGGAACACUUGAAGAGCUCCUCUUCCUCUGUCCUCUUAGCGGUGUCAGUGGGGUCUGUUAUCCUGCUUCCUGAAUUUCAGCUAAUCUCUCCAUCUCAUCACCACUCACUGGGAUGCACAAUUAUUUGAGCCACUUAAACUAUGUACAUCAUCACAACUGGAAGACCAUUCAAUUUCAGAUAUGUUUAAAUGAUAAAGUCUAUUAUACUAUAUACCACU